UACGAAGGGGGCUAGCGUUGUUCGGAAUUACUGGGCGUAAAGCGCACGUAGGCGGAUUGUUAAGUCAGAGGUGAAAUCCCGGAGCUCAACUUCGGAACUGCCUUUGAUACUGGCAAUCUAGAGUCCGGAAGAGGUUAGUGGAAUUCCCAGUGUAGAGGUGAAAUUCGUAGAUAUUGGGAAGAACACCAGUGGCGAAGGCGGCUAACUGGUCCGGUACUGACGCUGAGGUGCGAAAGCGUGGGAGCAAACAGG
rnacentral:rRNA from 1 species